UCCCUCGACUCCAGCCCCGCCGCAGGAGACCUCCCUCCUCUCCAUCGACUCCAGCCCGCUGCCGCGGAGACGCGCACGGACCGCACUCGCUCUCUCUCCGGCCCGAAACGUCGAUUCCUACUAACUCAAGGGAGGACGACGCCGACGUCGAGAUCGCGCGCAUCCAGCCCGAGAUCCUGCGCCUCUCCUCCCGCUUCCUCCGCCUGCGCGUCUUCCGGGGCCACGACGCGCAGCCGGCCAGGACGGGGCCGCGGACGAGGGGGCUCAGCCUCGCCCCCUUCGAUCUGGAUGUCGUCGUCGCUCGCUGCUGUCACCACCGCCGCUGUCGGAUGGGGUUGUCGCUGCUGCCUGGACUCGACCGCCACCGUCCCCAAGUGCCGCAGCCUCUCCUCCCAACGCCAAGCAAGCUGGAGCAGGGAUUGCCAAACCAUAAUGCUAUUGGGAGUUAGCAUUGCAGAUUGGGUAAGAAAAUUUCUUUGCUGUUUGUCAAGUACCAGUACUGGUUCACAUUUGGCUGGAACCGAUUACUGGCACCCUCCGGGGAUGAGGACGACAAUCAGGGCAUCCAUGGUCGAGAGAUCGGCUGCUUGGAUGAAGCGUUCUGUUACAGUUAGGCCAAAGGAUGUGCUUCACUCUAUUCUUGCUGAAGCUGGUUUACCCUAAGUGGAGUACAAGACCUACGCAUCUUACCAUGGUUGUGUCGGGGCUACUAUUUACUUAUGGCCAUCGCAGUCGCGCUCGUUUGCGGCAUCAAUGCAUAUGGAGAUCCAUGGUGAACCAGUUGUGGAUGUUGCUGUGGCCAUGCAGAAUGCUGCUACUCGGUGCUUGGAGCUUCUUCAAGACACCAUGAGUAUUGGAUUUGAUUGCCCUCAAAUGCAAAAGAUUAAGACCGAGAUGAAGUACCUUUCAAGCAGUGUCACUGAGAAGAAUCAAAAUAUAAAGGAUCUGAAGACUAAGGUGGAGAAAAAGGACCAGCAGGUCAAGGCCCUUGGCAGGGGUUGGGGUUAAUUUGGAGACGAUGUGCUUGGUUUCGCAGGUCGUACUGAUAAAGUGGCUGUCAAUUAGCUGCCCUGCGGCUCUUCUCCUGUCGAGGGUGACGUGACCUGGGACUGCUAUGGUCUUACUCAAGAAGCCAACAACCUUAACUAUCUAUCUAUGAUGUCAAUUGAUGCUGUCACUGGUGCUAAAAAUGGUGUUGCUGCAGCGGCCAGAUGCCAUGGACCAAUAGUGGUGCUAUUCAGAUAUAAGUUUUAGUAGUCUAUGCUCAUUGAAUUUUCUUUUGAAGCUAAAACAUCAGUCUUCCAUUUUGUAUGUGAGUCUAUUAGCUUAGAACGUGAUAAUUUAGGAGAUAAGUAAAAGCAUUGAUACUUAGAAAUAGUGGGAACAAUGGUCCAAACAUGUCAGGGUGUAUUAUCUCCAAAUUAAUGAUGGUAUAUUCUUAUUUCAAGCCUCACUAAGAAGUUGUUUCUUUAUAGAUAGAAAUAUUUGAUGGCAUGGUGAUUCCUCUCUGCUGUAGAUAUAUAUUAUCUUUUUUGCGGGGCAAACAAUGCAAGAAUUGUAGAUAUAUAUUAUCAGCAUAGUUGAUAAUUGCCAAGAUCAUCUAGGUGGAUAUAUAAAUUGUUGUUUGUCGGGAAUUUUCUUUUGAGUUAUUGGUUGACGCACACCUCCGGAAAUGACCUUAUUUGCCUUUUUAUUUGGAAACUAAUCUCUCCAGGUUUCAGGCACAUAUUAUAACCAGGCUACUCUCAGUGCCUCCUUCUGUUAAUAGGCAGCUAUAUCCAAGGUACCUAUGUAAAAAUUUCUUGAACAUUUUGAUAUUUGGGCCAACAACCUUAACUAUCUAUCUAUGAUGUCAAUUGAUGCUGUCACUGGUGCUAAAAAUGGUGUUGCUGCAGCGGCCAGAUGCCAUGGACCAAUAGUGGUGCUAUUCAGAUAUAAGUUUCAGUAGUCUAUGCUCAUUGAAUUUUCUUUUGAAGCUAAAAUAUCAGUCUUCCAUUUUGUAUGUGAGUCUAUUAGCUUAGAACGUGAUAAUUUAGGAGAUAAGUAAAAGCAUUGAUACUUAGAAAUAGUGGGAACAAUGGUCCAAACAUGUCAGGGUGUAUUAUCUCCAAAUUAAUGAUGGUAUAUUCUUAUUUCAAGCCUCACUAAGAAGUUGUUUCUUUAUAGAUAGAAAUAUUUGAUGGCAUGGUGAUUCCUCUCUGCUGUAGAUAUAUAUUAUCUUUUUUGCGGGGCAAACAAUGCAAGAAUUGUAGAUAUAUAUUAUCAGCAUACUUGAUAAUUGCUAAGAUCAUCUAGGUGGAUAUAUAAAUUGUUGUUUGUCGGGAAUUUUCUUUUGAGUUAUUGGUUGACGCACACCUCCGGAAAUGACCUUAUUUGCCUCUUUAUUUGGAAACUAAUCUCUCCAGGUUUCAGGCACAUAUUAUAACCAGGCUACUCUCAGUGCCUCCUUCUGUUAAUAGGCAGCUAUAUCCAAGGUACCUAUGUAAAAAUUUCUUGAACAUUUUGAUAUUUGGGCUCAAGAUUUCUAUUUUCGGGAACAGACGACUUCAUUAGUUAGUUGGCCCAUGUAUGUCAUGUGUUUAUCCAAUAUUUGGUCUGUUAUUUUCAUCUUUGGUUCCUACUUGAGAAAAAGGAGGAAAACCUACAGUUCAAAGCCUUUUAUGAAAUGGAUGUCACUUUAUUUUCCUGUAGCGUACUUCUUUGUCAUCUAAUAUAUGUCCCACAUGUGAUUUAAACAGUGCCUAGGAUAUGAUUCGGCCCAUACAUCACUUUCUUUCUUAACCUAUAUGAGGAAAGAAGAAAACAUGUAUCAGCAAAAUCUGCUUUCUGAUUGAUUUAUUCAGGGUGAAUGCUUUCUUUGUCCUGUUCUUGUCAUGUGAUGCAUAUGAAUAAACAGAUGUUUUAUAACUGAAUGUUCAUUUGCAUUUAUGGUAAAAAAUGCUCGUCUGCAUUCAUGUCAAUCUUAAUGCAUAAUGGUAAUAUGGAACCAGACUGUUCAUUUUUCUUUUUAUUACUACUGUUCUUUUCUUCAUUUGAAGAAGAUGGUACCUAAUCAAACUAUUUGUGUUUUAUCGAUAUUUAUUUACACUAUUAAAAUUGCAAAUGGAUUUCGCUCCAUUACCUCGCUAGCGCACCAUGUUGAUGCACCACCAUGUCAAAUUAUCCUCUGGGAGGUGUAUCCAUAACUAUCCUUGCAAACUGAUUUGGUCAUGCUGAAUUCUGUAAACUGAUAAUACGCAAAUACAAAAUUUUCCUAAAAUAAUAAUAAAAUAUUGAGAUGUUUUGAUACAAUUUAAAACUACUACCAAGGUCUUCGAAUAUUACAAAUACAUAGAUAUCCAUUUAUAGUGUGUAAUACUAAUGUACUACCAAAAUUUGAUAUGUAUAUACUUAUUGAAUUAGGUGCUCUCUUAUAAGUUACAAUAUUUUAUAUCCUAAUCCUCUAUAAUGAGAUCCCAACAUACAGUGAGUACCAUUCUUCAAGUUAUUUGUAUUACAUUCUUUUUUCUGCACUUUAGAUUCAUCUGUUUUCUUACCUACUUAUAGUGUCAUAGGAACCUUUAUUUUUGCUGGCCUGCAUGAGAAGUGAGAAUAUUGAUUCUUCAUAAAGGUUGUGCUCUGCCUCUUCCUCGCUCAACAAGAGGAGGUGCAGCCACCAAGCCACGGUGCCGGUGGUGCGGUGCAUGGCGGCCUCACCGGGUGGGUGACGACACCAGACACCGGAAGUUUUCGUGCAGCUAUAGAAUUAUUUAGAGUGUUCUUCGACUAAAAUCAGGCUGCUCCUGCCGUGUCUACCAGUGAAAUGCCUCCUUCCAUGAUAAAGCAGCCUACUCUUAGGUACAGAUCUUGGUGUUGAUUCUGCCUCACCUUUACAGCCGGCAGUGGUUCGGUUUGCUGCAGAUUUCCUCGGUGUUCAGGAAUUGUGCAGAGCAUGAGGAUGAUGUAGGCCGCUGCGCCACCUCUCUUGUCAUCCUGGUCACUGCCUAGCCAAUUUCUUUGAUUCAGAGGCUUGUGCCACUACAGGCGUUGCAUGGCAAUCCGCGCUUCUGCGAGCAACAACAAAAAUAGGGCGAAACAAAGCAAGCACAAAAGAAGAAUUGAGAUGCUACAUACAACCAAUGGUAUCCUUUUAACGCCGCCGCCGGGGUCCUUCCGCCUGAGCCAGGAUCUCUUCUACCCUGCACCGCUGCUGUGAACUCAUCCAUGCUGACAGUCGGCUCCAUGCUACAACUGCUGCAGCCUGCAGACAUGUACAGGACCAAGCAAGAAAUCAGGAAUGGUUAGGGCGCUAUGCCUUGAAGAGAGCCAAAAGGAAGAGAGAGGCGAGUGUACAUGUCGUGAAGACGGCAAGGUACCACUUCCAUGACGAUGUCAACAUCGUCGUGGUCUAUCUUCACCGGCACCGGCACCGGGGGCGCCGUCACAUCAGGGUUACGGAGCAGUAAUUGCAAACAUGGAGGCCCAAAUUAUGAUGGGUUACAGACUUUGCUUAUAAGACAACAUGAACUGACAACUUCAAUUAUAGCAUAUCUGGUAUUUUCAUAUUAUCUUUUGUCAUGUGUAGAAUACAUGGUGUGAUAGGGUCAGCGUUUGUAUGAACUUUUGGUGGGUAAAGUGUUCUGUUUCUCAAGCAAGUUCAUCAUUGAACACAAAAUUUUGAUUGUGUUUUCCUGAGUUGUGAGACAUGAAUCUAUUUUAAGGAUGUUGUUGUAUGAAUACAUAUACUGAACCUGGAUUAGUACUGACUUAACAUUA